GCGUGUGUGAUGAAGGCCUUAGGGUUGUAAAGCACUUUCGCCNGNGAAGAUAAUGACGGUAACCGGAGAAGAAGCCCCGGCUAACUUCGUGCCAGCAGCCGCGGUAAUACGAAGGGGGCAAGCGUUGCUCGGAAUCACUGGGCGUAAAGCGUACGUAGGCGGGUCGUUAAGUCAGAGGUGAAAUCCUGGAGCUCAACUCCAGAACUGCCUUUGAUACUGGCGACCUUGAGUUCGAGAGAGGUUGGUGGAACUGCGAGUGUAGAGGUGAAAUUCGUAGAUAUUCGCAAGAACACCAGUGGCGAAGGCGGCCAACUGGCUCGAUACUGACGCUGAGGUACGAAAGCGUGGGGAGCAAACAGGAUUAGAUACCCUGGUAGUCCACGCCGUAAACGAUGGAUGCUAGCCGUUAGGCAGCUUGCUGCUUAGUGGCGCAGCUAACGCAUUAAGCAUCCCGCCUG
rnacentral:rRNA from 1 species